GUUUUGCAUAUCGAGUGCACGAACCCACAUAUUAAUAUUGCAGGCGUUUUAUUAACUGUGCGAUAUUUUCC
rnacentral:lncRNA from 1 species